rnacentral:rRNA from 1 species
GACGAACGCUGGCGGCGUGCUUAACACAUGCAAGUCGAACGGUAAGGCCCUUCGGGGUACACGAGUGGCGAACGGGUGAGUAACACGUGGGUGAUCUGCCCUGCACUUCGGGAUAAGCCUGGGAAACUGGGUCUCAUACCGGAUAGGACUCCGGACUGCAUGGUCUGGGGUGGAAAGCUUUUGCGGUGUGGGAUGGGCCCGGGGCCUAUCAGAUUGUUGGUGGGGUGAUGGCCUACCAAGGCUACGACGGGUAGCCGGCCGGCGAGGGUGACCGGCCACACUGGGACUGAGAUACGGCCCAGACUCCUACGGGAGGCAGCAGUGGGGAAUAUUGCACAAUGGGCGCAAGCCUGAUGCAGCGACGCCGCGUGAGGGAUGACGGCCUUCGGGUUGUAAACCUCUUUCAGCAUCGACGAAGCGAAAGUGACGGUAGGUGCAGAAGAAGGACCGGCCAACUACGUGCCAGCCGCCGCGGUAA